UAGGGAAUCUUCCACAAUGGACGAAAGUACUGAUGGAGCAACGCCGCGUGAGUGAAGAAGGGUUUCGGCUCGUAAAACUCUGUUGUAAGAGAAGAAUGACAUUGAGAGUAACUGUUCAAUGUGUGACGGUAUCUUACCAGAAAGGAACGGCUAAAUACGUGCCAG
rnacentral:rRNA from 1 species